rnacentral:lncRNA from 1 species
CGCCCGCCCCGCGGGGACCUCCCGGCCAUCGACCGGGAUCCCGCAUCGGGGGUCGGAGACACCUCAUCGAGGUGAACGCCCGGAGUGAGCCCCACAGGCAUGCGGACCCCAGCCCGCGGCUGCCGGGGCGGCCUAGGGACGUCCUCCUGCCCAGCGCUGUCCCCGACGCGGAAUUCCCCGCGGGGAGGGAGGCUGUGUGUCGGGCCCGUGCGCCGAGGCCCACGGGUCCUCUGGGUUAGGCCAGCCUGGGGCGCAGAGGAGCCGGAGGGAGAGUGGAGCGAUCUCCCGAAGUCAGCAGUCUAUUGGGCAUUUAUCACACUCGCUAGGAGACCACGGGGCACCCUCCAGGGCACGAGCGAGGAAGCUGGAGGGCACUGGGGCCACCGUGAGAACAGGCCCAGGACAGCCGCAUCUGACCGCAGGGACUCCACAGGCAGCCGCGACGCUCUGCGGGGAGCAGGCGGGAAGAGCCCACCAGCCCAGAGCCCCAGAGGCUUCGAUUUUUAUGCCGUGGAGUUUGAUACAAACCAGUGCCAAUCUUACGGUGGCGGACAAAUAAUGUGUGCUAAUCCUGUGGUGGUAAAAAUAUUUUUCUUUGUGAUAUAAAUAUAUAUUUUUAGAAAACAUUUUUAUUAGUUUCUCAAAAGGUCUCACAAGAUAAGUUUUAUAGCACGCAGCCGUAUUGUUACAAGCUAGCGCACAAGCACACCACCGGUCCUAUGAUUAUCACAAGACUCAAAGUAAGUUUAGAAUCAGACAGAAGCAUAAGAUAAUUUGGGGUCGGAGAAGAUCAGUCACAGAAGUGGCAGCCCCCCCCGCAAAAAAGAAAAAACAUAUGGAGCAAUGGCAAGCUGCACUGGAGUCUCAGCUCCAGCCCCGCAGGAAGUCAUGGGACAGCCCCAUCUGAGAAGCACAUGCCUCUCCUGCACCUCUGCUACAAAUAGCAAAAGCUUCCCUGCUGAGUUUCCCAGGGGUGUGUGUGUGUGUGUAUACACACAAAAGUAUUAAAAGAAACCUGGAGAUUAUAAAACUUGUUUGUGAAGUGCUUACUUUGUGCCAGGCAUUAUCCUAAACUCUACUCAGAGUUCUCGGUUCAAUCCUCAGGACAGUCCUACAAAUUGAACACUACCAGACCAUCGUUAUUGUUACUCCAUUUUUCUAAUGAGAAAAUUGUGAAGAGCAAGGGAAUGCC